rnacentral:rRNA from 1 species
ACCUACGGGGGCAGCAGUAGGGAAUUUUCGUCAAUGGGCGCAAGCCUGAACGAGCAAUGCCGCGUGAACGAGGAAGGUCUUCGGAUCGUAAAGUUCUGUUGAAGGGGAAGAAGAGCGGAGAGAGGAAAUGGUCUCCGAUUGAUAUUACCCUUCGAGGAAGUCACGGCUAACUACGUGCCAGCAGCCGCGGUAAUACGUAGGUGGCGAGCGUUAUCCGGAAUGAUUGGGCGUAAAGGGUGCGUAGGCGGCCUGCUAAGUCUGGAGUGAAAGGUACCGGCUCAACCGGUACAGGCUCUGGAAACUGG